UUUCAUGUAAGAAAUUGGGUGGGUGAGGGGGGGUGGGGAAAUUAUUUCAGUUUAAUCCAAGUCUCCAAAACGUUUCCCAGUUGGCAAUCAUACUGAAAAUAAAUGCAAUAAUUCAUGUAGCCGUACACACUUUGCACUCAGUAGCGAUGAGUUACACAAAUACCUAUAUUUCAUUUUAAGGCAUUCGUUUACACAGUGAAGUAGCAAGACUAAGCAUGGGAAUAUAUGUUUCAGAUUCAGCGCCUGGAUUUGUGAGCACAUACGAUGGACAUGGGUGAUAGAAAGUUUAACUAGCACCGAUUUAGAGAGUUGUGUCAUCCUGUGAAAGGACCCAUCAACCCCCACAGCUGGCUCAGAAUAGGCAGCAUGAGCAGCCAUGGUCUGUUGCCAGCUUGAGUGAGGGCUACCUUUAGACAUCAGCCCCUUUCUCCUGGGGCGCAACUUCCUAUGGGCUGGGCAGAGAAUUGUGCUCCAAUGCACCACCAGAAGUCCUUCUGUUGCAAUUUUUUAUUUUGCAGAAACAGUUCUAUUUCUGAACUGUUGUGUGCAAGAGGUGAUGUUCAUGAGAAGAGUCUAAUGUAUUCCACACCAAAUUAAAACACAGGCCAACAGAAGACAGCUAUUCAUCACCAGCAAUGGGAAGAGGGAAAAACACGUAAUAACUCCUCUACUAUCUUUUAAAGUGUCUUCAGGUGAGUAAAAUGAAAGUGGGUGCGGCCAUUAUGCUUCAAAUAACACAAAGCAUAUAAAUAUGAUGGAGGCAUUCUCCUCUUCUUGCAUUUUGCUUUGUUAUGUGAAGCCUAGAAGAUGAUAAUGUGAAUGCCAAAUGUAGUAAGCAAGAGACCCAGAAGAAUGAAAAUGAGCUAAAGGGUUAGGGCAUUGGUAUAACUAAGAGGGAAAAAGAAGAACCCAUGGCCCCCUGAGGUGGCUCUGUUUCCAUCAGCUCCAUGGGUUUAACAUCCUUCUGCUUUGCUGUAAGUAAGUGGCUACCUCCAGCUUCUCUUGCUAUGGUAGUCUGAGCACCUCUUGAAAUAUUUCUGCCCUGAGGUCUGAUUUCCUGUAAGAACUUGGAUUCUUCAGCGGCC
rnacentral:lncRNA from 1 species